rnacentral:rRNA from 1 species
AUUGAACGCUGGCGGUAGGCCUAACACAUGCAAGUCGAACGAGUGGCGGACGGGUGAGCAAUACAUCGGAAUCUUCUCUGUCGUGGGGGAUAACGUAGGGAAACUUUCGCUCAUACCGCAUACGCUUGUAUGCGCCCCUGUCUGAUUAGCUAGUUGGCGGGGUAAAGGCCCACCAAGGCGACGAUCCGUAGCUGGUCUGAGAGGAGGAUCAGCCACACUGGAACUGAGACACGGUCCAGACUCCUACGGGAGGCAGCAGUGGGGAAUAUUGGACAAUGGGCGCAAGCCUGAUCCAGCCAUACCGCGUGGGUGAAGAAGGCCUUCGGGUUGUAAAGCCCUUUUGUUGGGAAAGCGGUACCCAAAGAAGAAGCACCGGCUAACUUCGUGCCAGCCGCCGCGGUAAUUG